UACAGCCACAUCCGGUUGAAACACCGGUUUCCGUACGAUCAACGAAGUUAAGCAAGCGCAAGUCUGGUCAGUACCUAGAUGAAUCAGUACUUAGACGGGUGACCGCUUGGGAAUAACAUGUGCUGUAAG